CUCUUGUGACCACAAUGCUUUCUUAAUGUCUCUUUGCUCCUUAGAUGCCUUUUGCAAGUUAAAUUUUCCUUUCCCUUGUUCCUCUGCGUCUUUGCCUUCGUUCACCUCCUCCCUUUCUUCUUCUGACUCCUCCUCCGACUGAUCCCAUGUCUCUGUUCCCAGAGCUUUUAACAUGUGCUUAGCCUCUUCUUCUGUUUUUGCAUGGUAAAUUUUUCCAUUAUUAAAGACCAAUAUAGAAUUUGCAGACCCCCAACUGAAGCGCAGCCCUGAGUCAAAUAUUUUUUUCCCAAAGAGGCGGAGCUUGGCACGCUGUUUCAAAGCCUCUGGAGCCAAGCCCAUAAAUACUUUUAUCUUAUGUCCAUUAAACUCCAUGUUUGGUUCAACUCUAAACUUUUCAUAUAUCCCUCUUCUUUUCUCUAGUAAACGCUACUAUUACAUUCUGUGGCUGUGACGAUUUUCUGAGUCUCUGAAUUAGGCUUCUAUGAACCCUCUUGCUAUUUUCUGAACUUAUCUCUAUGUUCAUUGUACAUAGCCAAUUAGAUAAGGCGACCCAACAAACUUCAGAUUUCUCCUNCGCUGACGAUUUGAAACCUCAGCUAGCUUCUCUGUCAGACUUUCUCCAAAGUGGAAAACAGUUUAAACUGAGAUAUUUUGGAUCCUGUGGAAAAGGUGAAAAAACUGCAGAAGAAUAAGUUACAGACAUGAAAGGAAAUUCAUCUGCCACAAUUCCCUUUUUGUUUAUAAUAUCAUCACAAAGACAUACAUCUUUUCCUCUGCUUGUGCUCUGCUGUCCAGUAAAGAUAAUGCAAAAUUUCAUUUAUCAACAAAUAAACUAAGCAGUCCAUUCA
rnacentral:lncRNA from 1 species